GGGCGAGUAGCUUAGCCUGGCUGGAGCACCCGGCUGAUAACCGGAAGGUCGAGAGUUCAAAUCUCUCCUUGCCCA
rnacentral:tRNA from 1 species